rnacentral:lncRNA from 1 species
UGCAAAAGACAAGAACUGGACAUCCAAAGGCUUGGAGGACCUAGAGGGCUGGGUUUGGAGAAGGUUGAGCAUAUUCGUAAGCAUUCCAUCACUCUUCUCCUUUCCUUUGCUAGCUCAGAUCUAAGGCUACCUCUCUCAAUUUCUAGUUCAAUAACAACCUUGCAAUCUCACCAUCCUUAGUUCCAUAUUCCUGAACCAAAGCCCUAACCUUGUUGUUCAUAUAAGUCUUUAGAGAUGAACCAAGUUCAACUGGAGUGGCAUUUACAGGAUAAUCAGAAGACAUAAGAGUCUUGACACCAAGGUGUUCCUUUCUUGAUGCCAU